rnacentral:rRNA from 1 species
UACGUAGGGGGCUAGCGUUGUCCGGAAUCAUUGGGCGUAAAGCGCGUGUAGGCGGUCCGGUAAGUCCGCUGUGAAAGUCGGGGGCUCAACCCUCGGAUGCCGGUGGAUACUGUCGGGCUUGAGUACGGAAGAGGCGAGUGGAAUUCCUGGUGUAGCGGUGAAAUGCGCAGAUAUCAGGAGGAACACCAAUUGCGAGGGCAGCUCGCUGGGACGUUACUGACGCUGAGACGCGAAAGCGUGGGGAGCAAACAGG